rnacentral:lncRNA from 1 species
AUCAAUCCAUGUGUAUAUACUUAGAAAAUAAGAUGUAGUAUUUCAAUUAAUUUGCUUGUACUUCAAAAUCCAAUCGAUGCGUAUAUACUUGGAAAAAUUGGAUUACGUAUUUCAAUUCAUAUGCUUCUACUUCAAAAACCAAUCCAUGCGUAUAUACUUUGAAAAAUUAGAUUACGUAUUUCAAUUUAUAUGCUAGUACUUCAAAAACCAAUCCAUGUGUGUAUACUUAAAAAAAGUAGAUUACAAAUUUCAAUUCAUUUGCUUGAACUUAAUAAACAAAUCCACAUUUCUUCUCCCGACACCCC